rnacentral:rRNA from 1 species
UGGGGAAUAUUGGACAAUGGGCGAAAGCCUGAUCCAGCAAUGCCGCGUGAGUGAUGAAGGCCUUAGGGUUGUAAAGCUCUUUUACCAGGGAUGAUAAUGACAGUACCUGGAGAAUAAGCUCCGGCUAACUCCGUGCCAGCAGCCGCGGUAAUACGGAGGGAGCUAGCGUUGUUCGGAAUUACUGGGCGUAAAGCGCACGUAGGCGGCGAUUCAAGUCAGAGGUGAAAGCCCGGGGCUCAACCCCGGAACUGCCUUUGAAACUAGAUUGCUAGAAUCCUGGAGAGGUGAGUGGAAUUCCGAGUGUAGAGGUGAAAUUCGUAGAUAUUCGGAAGAACACCAGUGGCGAAGGCGACUCACUGGACAGGUAUUGACGCUGAGGUGCGAAAGCGUGGGGAGCAAAACAGGAUUAGAUACCCUGGUAGUCCACGCCGUAAACGAUGAUAACUAGCUGUCCGGGCUCAUAGAGCUUGGGUGGCGCAGCUAACGCAUUAAGUUAUCCGCCUGGGGAGUACGGUCGCAAGAUUAAAACUUAAAUGAAUUGACGGGGUCAUAGCUG